rnacentral:rRNA from 1 species
UACGUAGGCAGCAAGCGUUGUUCGAAAUUACUGGGCGUAAAGAGUGUGUAGGCGGUGCUCUAAGUCUGUUGUGAAAUCUCCCGGCUUAACCGGGAGGGUGCGGCGGAAACUGGAGUGCUUGAGGGUGGGAGAGGUAAGCGGAAUUCCUGGUGUAGCGGUGAAAUGCGUAGAUAUCAGGAGGAACACCUGUGGUGUAGACAGCUUACUGGACCACUUCUGACGCUGAGACACGAAAGCGUGGGUAGCAAACAGG